rnacentral:rRNA from 1 species
GGUUAAGCGACUAAGCGUACACGGUGGAUGCCCUGGCAGUCAGAGGCGAUGAAGGACGUGCUAAUCUGCGAUAAGCGCCGGUAAGGUGAUAUGAACCGUUAUAACCGGCGAUUUCCGAAUGGGGAAACCCAGUGUGACUCGUCACACUAUCAUUAACUGAAUCCAUAGGUUAAUGAGGCGAACCGGGGGAACUGAAACAUCUAAGUACCCCGAGGAAAAGAAAUCAACCGAGAUUCCCCCAGUAGCGGCGAGCGAACGGGGAGGAGCCCAGAGCCUGAAUCAGCAUGUGUGUUAGUGGAAGCGUCUGGAAAGGCGCGCGAUACAGGGUGACAGCCCCGUACACAAAAGCGCAUGUGCUGUGAGCUCGAUGAGUAGGGCGGGACACGUGGUAUCCUGUCUGAAUAUGGGGGGACCAUCCUCCAAGGCUAAAUACUCCUGACUGACCGAUAGUGAACCAGUACCGUGAGGGAAAGGCGAAAAGAACCCCGGCGAGGGGAGUGAAAAAGAACCUGAAACCGUGUACGUACAAGCAGUGGGAGCACCCUUCGGGGUGUGACUGCGUACCUUUUGUAUAAUGGGUCAGCGACUUAUAUUCUGUAGCAAGGUUAACCGAAUAGGGGAGCCGGAGGGAAACCGAGUCUUAAUUGGGCGUUAAGUUGCAGGGUAUAGACCCGAAACCCGGUGAUCUAGCCAUGGGCAGGUUGAAGGUUGGGUAACACUAACUGGAGGACCGAACCGACUAAUGUUGAAAAAUUAGCGGAUGACCUGUGGCUGGGGGUGAAAGGCCAAUCAAACCGGGAGAUAGCUGGUUCUCCCCGAAAGCUAUUUAGGUAGCGCCUCGUGAAUUCAUCUCCGGGGGUAGAGCACUGUUUCGGCUAGGGGGCCAUCCCGGCUUACCAACCCGAUGCAAACUGCGAAUACCGGAGAAUGUUAUCACGGGAGACACACGGCGGGUGCUAACGUCCGUCGUGAAGAGGGAAACAACCCAGACCGCCAGCUAAGGUCCCAAAGUCAUGGUUAAGUGGGAAACGAUGUGGGAAGGCCCAGACAGCCAGGAUGUUGGCUUAGAAGCAGCCAUCAUUUAAAGAAAGCGUAAUAGCUCACUGGUCGAGUCGGCCUGCGCGGAAGAUGUAACGGGGCUAAACCAUGCACCGAAGCUGCGGCAGCGACACUGUGUGUUGUUGGGUAGGGGAGCGUUCUGUAAGCCUGCGAAGGUGGCCUGUGAGGGUUGCUGGAGGUAUCAGAAGUGCGAAUGCUGACAUAAGUAACGAUAAAGCGGGUGAAAAGCCCGCUCGCCGGAAGACCAAGGGUUCCUGUCCAACGUUAAUCGGGGCAGGGUGAGUCGACCCCUAAGGCGAGGCCGAAAGGCGUAGUCGAUGGGAAACGGGUUAAUAUUCCCGUACUUGGUGUUACUGCGAAGGGGGGACGGAGAAGGCUAUGUUGGCCGGGCGACGGUUGUCCCGGUUUAAGCGUGUAGG